CCACCUGGCUCCCUGUGAGAUCAGCUCCCAACACGACCCCCAGGCCAAGACGGCAGCUCGCUCCGAGAGGGAUACAGGCCAGAGUUUCCUGAAUCUGUACCAUUUGUCC